rnacentral:rRNA from 1 species
CGAGACGAACGCUUGGGCGGCGUGCUUAACACAUGCAAGUCGAGCGGAAACGGCCCUUUUCGGGGGUACUCGAGCGGCGAACGGGUGAGUAACACGUGAGUUAAUCUGCCCUUGGCUUUGGGAUAACUACCGGAAACGGUGGCUAAUACCGGAUAUGACCAUGCUCGGCAUCGGGUGUGGUGGAAAGUUUUUUCGGCCAGGGAUGUGCUCGCGGCCUAUCAGCUUGUUGGUGGGGUAAUGGCCUACCAAGGCUUCGACGGGUAGCCGGCCUGAGAGGGUGACCGGCCACACUGGGACUGAGACACGGCCCAGACUCCUACGGGAGGCAGCAGUGGGGAAUAUUGGACAAUGGGCGGAAGCCUGAUCCAGCAACGCCGCGUGAGGGAUGACGGCCUUCGGGUUGUAAACCUCUUUCAGUACCGACGAAGCGCCGAUGAUGGUGGUGACGGUAGGUACAGAAGAAGCACCGGCCAACUACGUG